rnacentral:rRNA from 1 species
UACGAAGGGGGCGAGCGUUGUUCGGAUUUACUGGGCGUAAAGGGCGCGCAGGCGGCCGGCCAAGUCAGGCGUGAAAGCCCCGGGCUUAACCUGGGAAUUGCGUCUGGGACUGGUUGGCUAGAGAUCGGGAGAGGAGAGUGGAAUUCCCAGUGUAGAGGUGAAAUUCGUAGAUAUGGGGAAGGAACACCGGUGGCGAAGGCGACAUCCUGGACCGUAGUUCGUACGCUGAGGCGCGAAAGCCAGGGAGGCAAACGGG